AAAAUUCGAACAGACUUUCCCGACCCAAAUCAACUCCUCUCCCGCACCUACCUCUCUGUCGCGACCUUGGUUCCUCGGUCCCCGAUGCCCGCCGUCUCUCGCCGUCGUGCCGUCCAACGCCGCCGCAUCCUCCGCCUCCACGCACUGAGCAAGCUUCUUCGUAGGCCCCUCCACCGGAUACCUACCAGCGCCCCGCCUUUCUGCCCCCGAGUGCGGCGUGGCGGCUAACCCUAGGUGUGGGGUUCGGCACGGUCGCCGCCGCGGUACCGCGCCGCCGCUCCCAUCGACGAAAUCGAAGCUUCCAGACCCCACGCACGCGGCGGCGACCCGCGCCGGGAGCGGAGGGCAUGGCGGAGCCGCGGAGGGUCUCGUUCCGGGACGGCCGCCUCGCGUCGCGGAAGGCGGAGGAGGCUGCAUGGAGACGGCACCAGGCUGCAGCCACGAGCAUCGUCCAUUCCCAUCGACGAUGAGGGGCACGCAUCAUCUGGUUUUGAAGAACAGUAAGCAUUGCAGAGCGUGCUGAUGGCUUUGAUCAGCAUUUCAGAGGUAAUAGUAGUUUCGUUGUCUCCUUUGCUAGCAUUCUUCCAAGUGAAAGGGAAGCAACGUGGGUUCAUCAGUAGCGGUCGAUGAGACAUUGUCUUGUUCAUACUUCUGAGUGCAAUCGGGCACACGGAGUACUAUGGGUAGGUACACUGACAAUCAAGGCAUGGCAUAUCUGUACAGGUUCUUAUUUCUUCAAAAUCCCUCAUAUAACUGAAUUUUGUUUCUCCAAUACACUUACAGUCAACUUACAUGCUCAUCAUGAUUAUUUAUAUGUAACUUAUGUUUUAUUGGGAGUCUGAAUUUUCUCUUGCUACUUUCAACUUAUGUUUGAUCAAUUUCCAUGCUCAUGGUGAUUAUUUAAAUGCAACUGUUGCUGAUCUAUAAUUGGCAUGGGAACAUUUAAAAAAGAGCUUGUAGUUUGUGCAACUCUAUCACUUAAUAAUUCUUGAUUUCCUGUACUGCAAAGUUUAAAAUGCAUAGACAAUGCUGCAACCAUAGGAAAUAUACAAAUAGACAUGCUGGGCUUCAGUACACAAUUUCACUGUGUCAAUAUUUUUUGUUACUGGCUUCAAGUUGUUGUGAAAUGUAUAUGUGGAUUGCCUAGCCCUUUCCAUCAGUUCGGACUUUUGGUUCAAGUGGCUAGUGCAUGAAGCUUAACAUGGUAUCAGAGCCCCAGGUCUCGAGUUCAAAUCCUGGUUUUCACAUGGUUUUCGCAAUUAAGCCUAAAAAUUGUUGUUGCCCCCCUCUUUAGCCACCGUUGAUGCCCUGUUUCGGUGUGCUCUUCUUCUUUCACGUGUUGACUUUCUCUUCUCCCGUCACACGCGAGUGGGGGUGUUGUGAAAUGUAUAUGUGGAUUGCCUAGCCCUUUCCAUCAGUUCGGACUUUUGGUUCAAGUGGCUAGUGCAUGAAGCUUAACACAAGUAACCUGCUUUCUUUAAUAUUGACAGUGCUCCUGUACAUGCUGGGUUUUGGUUUUUCUUAUGGCUGCCACUUGUAGAUUAACUGUAUCGAUAUUGCCGGAAAGGGUGUUGAUUGAAAGGGUUGGAAAUGUCACCACCUUCUUGCCUUGUUCAGGGUCCUCCUAGAGGGGACACCACAUGGGUGACUUCGUUCCUCAGGAAGAACUUGAGAAGUUCAUGGCACGUUGUACUGAUCCUGCAGCACAAAAGGCUACCAAAGAAGCUGCGAGAAGGCUAAGAUUCAAGCUGACAAUAUUGGGCACACGCUUCUGUCUAAGAUGGGCCGGAGGGAAGUGUCAUUGAUAAGAUUGAAGGCAAGGUAUAAAUGAUGCUUCGUUGCUUAAAGUCUACUACUAUAUACUUUUUCCUAUAGAACCCAAUUUUCUAUAAUGCACGACCUACUUUUUAGCCACUUUAAACAUGCAUGGGUUAAUCUCUUCAACGAGCAUGGUUAAGCUAACCCCCUAAUUCUUAUUCAUGUGCUCAGAGCCUUAACUGUCUAAUAACACAUCUCUGUUGAGCUUUUGCUCUCUAUAUACAUUUCGAUACGAGGUAUUGUUACAGGAUAAAAGUAAUUAUUCUUUAAGCCAUUAUGUUCAGUUUUGGCCUAUUACCUGUGUAGAACCAACUAAUAUUUAGUUGCUACAAAUGAUUUUAUUUUGUACUCUAAUAUCUUUCCUGUAAUAGGCUCCAUAAAGCUUUUGACCUACUGAAUUUGUAAGUGCGAAUAUUAGACGAUUUUCUUCACAUUAUUGCUGCAAUUGGAUUUUAUUUUCGCAAUGGGUAAUAUAUCUACUUCCCUGGUAUAAGGAACAUAACUACUUCUGUGUUUAGUCUGUUUAUUCUAGAUGUGAUGGUAGGAUGCUGACAUUGGAGGAACAAGCAAGCGAAUCGGGAACAAAGAACCUUGUUGGUCAGACAAGUAAGAUGGAAGCCAGUUAGAUGAACCAUGUUAGAUGAACCUUGUUGUGUAUUUUAUCUAAUGGUUUCAAACCAUGUUGUUCAUGAUGUGGUGAUGAACACUGUUGGUCAUGGAAGUUAAUUAGAUGCAUGGAUUGUGAAUCCUUGAAUGUUUCAAAUGUUGGUUUCAAACCUAGAUUGCUUGGAAAUAUUGGUUUUAAACAUUGCUUGA